CGCCGCCGCCGCCGCCAGCGCACUGACGUCACCGCGCACGCUGCGCGCGCGGUCACCCGCUGUCGCCGCCCGGCGUGCGCGCCCGAGACCGUGCCCGGCGAGAGCGAGCUCAAGAGAGCUGGCGGCCGGGAGUCACUCCACAUGACUACUUGGAGAUCUGCCUAAUUGGGAGAUAACUUGGAGAGAAUAUACAGUAUUGUUAUCUGGUAUGGAUAUAUCAUAAUUUAUUUUACUACUCUCCUAUUAUGUACAUUUAAUUCAUUUCCAGUUUUUCCAUCAUAAUAACCAGUAUUACAGUGAGAUUCUUCUGCAUUUCUCAUUUUCUUUUCAUACUUGCCAGUAUUUUUACAGGUUAAAAAAAUUAUAUAGUGUUUUCUUGAAAGCAAGGGUAAAUUUAUAUAGCGUGAUCAGCUUUGGAAAAGCUGGAGGUGUUUGAUUUGCUAUGGCCUGAAUCCAUGCGCACUUUCCAGUGAGAACUUGCCCAUGAAGUUACUAUAAAUUCUGGAAUUUAUAGUUAGGUUCUAGAGACGAUGAGUAACCCAAGAUCACACAUUUACACAGUUUAGAACUCAUAUCUCCUGACUCCAUGAAGACUGCCUUCUCUAACCCAGAAAUCGACAUUUUUUGUUUGUUUGUUUUUUUGGCCUUGCCACUCAGCUUAAGGGAUCCUAGUUCCCCAACCAGGGAUAGAACCCGCGCCCCCCGCCAUGGAAAGGCAGAGUCCCAACAACUGGACCACCAGGGAACUCCCAACAAAUUUUGUCUGUAAAGAGCCAGGUAGUCAAUAUUUAGGUUUUGUGGGCCAUACAGUCUCUAUAACAUUGCCAAUCUUUGUCACUCUGUCAUUGUAGUACAAAAGCAGCCAUAAUUAAUGUGUAAAUGAAUGGGCGUGGCUGUGUUCCAAUGAAACUUUAUGGAUACUAAAAUUAGAAUUUCAUGUAAAUUUCAGAAUUCACAAAAUAUUGUUCUUUUGGGUUUUUUUUUCAACCUUUGAAAACUAUAAAAUCCAUUCUUAUCUGGAAGUCUGUGCAAAAACAGACAGCAGGCCAGAUUUGUCCCAUAGGCAGUAGUUUGCUGAUCCCUGCUCUAGAACCUCAAGUGUAGAGAAAUGGAAAUUUCUUUACCAUUAUGCAGAAGUUAUUCUGCUUACAACUUUUUUAAAUUAAUAGUUUUGGGGGAGCAGUUUUAGAUUUACCUUAACAUUGAGUAGAAAGUACAGUUCCCUUACACCCCCUCACUUCCCCCAUCUUGCAGAGUGUGGUACAUUGGUUAGAAAUGAUGGGCCAAUAGUGAUACAUUAUUAUUAACUAAAGUCCAUAGUUUGCAUUAGGGUUCACUUUUCGUGUUGUACAUCCUAUGGGUUUUGACAAAUGUAUGACACAUAUUGACCAUUAUGUUUGCCAAUAUUUAACUCAUAAGCUAGCUAAGAACAAAAAUAAGCUUCAGAAUAAAGCACUACAAUUCUGUCAGUCACAAAUAGGUACAAGAUGGCUGUAAGGGUCAUUUUGGUUUCCACUACUUCAUUAACAUUUAUUUUGCUGUGUUUUUGCUUAGUUUCAAAGUGUUUUACAAAUAUCAUUCACUACCACACUUAAAAUAAUGAGAGUGCUGGAAGACCUAGUGUGAAGAGCCAUACAAUUGCAAUUUUAAAAAGGCAGUGGUUUUUUAAAAAAAGUUUCAAAGUGGAAAGAAAAUGCAAAUGUUGCACAUGGGAUAAAAGUACUCAAGAGGAAGGAGUCAGGAAGUCAAAGAAGGAAUGAUAGUAGGAGCUCUUAUAUACUGCUCAGUUGGUUCAAUCAUUUUAGAAUACAGGUUGGCCUUGUCUGGUGAAGUUGAAGCUCUGCACACUCUACGGCCCACUAAUUCCAUUCCAUGGAAACUCUCAGUGACACACUUAAGAAAGUUCAGCAUAGCGCUCUUCCUAACAGCCCACACUGAAAACAACCCAAAUGUCCACCUACCUGGUAGAAUGAAUAGAUUGUAGUAUAAUGAAAAUGAACAAAUCACAGCCACACACAACAACACAGAUGAAACUUACAUACAUAAUGGGAAAACCAAAGAAGCAAGGCAUACAUGAUGAUUCCAUUUCUAUGUUGAUUUCUAAAACAUAAAAAUAGACUGAGAUUUUUAGGGAAAUAAAACUACAGUUUCCUGUUGCCUGAGGAGGUCUGAGCCAAGGAUCCAUCAUCAUGAAGUCCUCUGUGGAGUUAGGAGGACCGCUGCUUCUGCUUGUUUCUUUUAUUUGGUUGUGUUCUGGGCAAGAGCCAGUGGAGGUGUGGGGACUAUAAAGAAAGACAAGCAGGUAAUUACCACUGGUUACUUGAGAGAGUGAUCAGGAAGGGAUGAGGAGAAUGGUGUGGGUGGCCAGUUUCAGAGGUAUAGUGGUAUUCUAUUUCUUUUUAAAAUUUAUUUUCCAAAUUGAAGACCUGGCAUGGCCCUGCUGAUUCAUGUGUGUGUGUGUGUGUGUGUGUGUGUGUGUGUGUGUGUGUGUGUGUGUGGUAAAAAACACAAUGUGAGAUCUACCCUCUUAAACUGUUAAGUGUACAGUACUAUUAACUAUAAGCACAGUGUUGUACAGCUGGUCUUUUUCAUCUUACAUGACUGGAAAGUAUUCUGCUUCUUGACUGUGCAUUCACUCUACUAUAUGUUUUAUGCAUAUUUGUAUUAUAUUUUAAUUUUUUUAGGGAUAAAAAGAAUGAAUCAUAUAAACAAGGAAAACUGUGCCUAAGUGAAGAGAACUGAACAGAAAAGGCUAAUGAUGAAGUUGACAUGGACAAACUUCUGACUGUAUGGCCAGGAAAUGAGCAGCAUUGCAAGAUACCUUCUACUUUAAGACUCACACAGAAGGCUGGCAAUUUGAAAGCUUAGAGGCUAAGCAUGGUGGAAAGUGUUCCUGAUAAAAUUUCGGUCAUGAGCCACUAAUGGUCCCAGGGAUUCAAGCCCUUAUGGAAUCAUCAUGGCAUCAAAAUGAAUGACAAUGGGUCAAGUGAGGUUGCUCCAGCUGCUUAAAAAAUUCUCUUCAGCAUUUACCAAACAAAAAAGGUUUCUUGCCUUGACAGAUCUUCACUAUAGUUGAAACCAGCCUAUUUUGGUGAAGGAUGCCUGAUAGAAUUUAUUUCAGCAAAGACUUCAUGUGAGGGCUUCCCUGGUGGUGCAGUGGUUGAGAGUUCGCCUGCCGUUGCAGGGGACACGGGUUCAUGCCCCGGUCCGGGAAGAUCCCACGUGCCGCGGAGUGGCUGUGGCUGGGCCCGUGAGCCAUGGCCGCUGGGCCUGCGCGGCCGCUGGGCCUGUGCUCCGCAACGGGAGAGGCCGCAACAGUGAGAGGCCCGCGUACCGCAAAAAAAAAAAAAAAGACUUCAUGUGGGAAUAACCUGCUCUCAUUGGUGUAAGUACAAGUCAGGACUGAAAGCUUACAUCUCUUUUACUCCUUUCAUCUUCAAGACAAAUGGGCUGAAGAAGCAGGUUCUUGGAAUCUAAUAUGUUUAUAGGAACAGCAUCUGUAUCUAGAUUUAUACUAGUGUUGUCUGGUAGCCAGCUUUCAAAAAUGGCCCCCAUUGAUUACCCUUCUGUAAUCUCCUCCCUUUGAGUGUGGUCCUGACCUAGUCACUUGUUGAUAACAAAGAGAUUAUGGCAAAAAAAAAAGAUUAUGGCAAAAGUGAUGGGAUGUCGCUUUCAUGAUUAGGUUACAAAAGACUGACUCAUCCAGCUGGACUCUCUUUUGCCUUCUCAGCUUGCACAUUUUGAUGAAGCAAGCUGCCAUGUAGGAGAGGCCCAAGGAACUGAAUGAACGUAGCUUCUGGUUAAUGCCAGCAAGGGACUAAAGCCCUCUAUCCAACAGCUGCAAGGAACUUAGUUCUGCCAGCAAACACAACAUUGAAAGUAGAUCCUUCCAUAGUCAAGCCUUCAGAUGAGACCACAGCCUUGGCCAACACUUUGAUUGCAGCCUUGUAAUUCCAGCUAAGCCACACCUGACUUCCAGAAAUUGUGAAAUAAUAAGCAUGCUUUAAUUUUAAGACACUAAAUUUUGGAGUACAUUGUUAUGUGGCAAUAGAUAACUAAUAACAUACAUCCUGGGACCAAAUAUCCCCUUUCCCUAGGGAAGAUAUAUUUCAGCCUUAGUGGGGUUGAUGAAUAGUGUGGCAAGCAAAUUCUUCCUUCUCCCAAAAUAUCCCCUUUGUUCCUCUGGUUUUGCAUCGUUAAACUAGACAAAGUAUAUUUCAAAUACUGGGGAAUGUUGUGGUCUUAGUUCUUUUGAGGCGAACAGUAUUGUCAUUUAAAUUAUCUUCCAAUCAGAAGGAAUUAGGAACUUAGGUCUCUCUAAGGAGGCUAUAGUUUUCCUUAUGGGGACUAUUGUAGUAAACAAUUCACACAUUCUGUUACCCUGAAGUUAGUCAUUGGCCCUUGGGGGUUACCUCUAGAGAGGAAUUCUUUCAAAAAUAAUUUCAUGGCAGCAAAUAAGGGAAAUUUAUGAUACACUUGUGAGUUCUCUAUCUUCACUCCUAUUUAGAGAAAUGCUCCCAAAUCUUUGUAGGCAUCUAAGAAGCUAAAAAUCCCCAGGCAUUUCCCAUGGGACAAGUUGAAGAUCUGUCCUGAGUGGGUAACUGUGGGCAGGUUACUGAGCAAAGACUUGAUACAUGCAUCCACAGUGCCUACGCCUUGCAGGCACUCUAUACUCAAUAUGUUGACCUGUUACUCAUAAAGUUAGAUUCCCAAAAGAAAGUGUUAUAUACUUUAUGUUCUUUAUUUAAAGAAUCCAGUUUAAAUGGAUUGGCCAAAAUUAGAGUAUCUACAGGAACAGAGACAAAUGGUCUUCCACGUAAACUUAAAGGAAUUCAGUUAGGAGAAUGAUUACUAAAGAUAUAAGUAACUUUUUUUUUUUUUUUUUUUUUUUUUUUUGCGGUACGUGGGCCUCUCAUUGUUGUGGCCUCUCCUGUUGCGGAGCACAGGCUCUGGACACGCAAGCUCAGCGGCCAUGGCUCAUGGGCCUAGCUGCUCCACAGCAUGUGGGAUCUUCCCGAACCGGGGCACAAACCUGUGUCCCCUGCAUCGGCAGGCGGACUCUCAACCACUGCGCCACCAGGGAAGCCCAACUUUUAAAAAAAAAUGUUGGGAAUUCCUGGCGGUCCAGUGGUUAGGGCUUGGCGCUUUCACUGCUGAGGGCCCGGGUUCGAUCCCUGGUUGGGGAACUAAAAUCCCACAAGCCAUGUGGCACAGCCAAAAAAAGUUACAAGGACGCCAACACUAGUGGGAGUUCUAGCCAGAGCGAUCAGGCAAUAAAAAGAUAUAAAGGCAUUCAUAUAGGAAAGGAAGAAGUAAAACAAUCUCUAUUCACAGAUGACAUGAUCUUAUACAUGGGAACUACAAAAGAAUGGACCGAAAAAACCUUUCAGGGCUAUUAAGCAAAUUCAGCAAAGUUGCAGAAUACAAGAUCACACAAAAAUCAGUUGUAUUUCUAUACACUAGCAAUGAACAAUCCAAAAAUGAAAUUAAGAAAACAAUUCCAGGGAGUUCCCUGGUGGUUCCGUGGUUAGGACUUGGUGCUUUCACUGCUGUGGCCCUGGGUAAAAUAUACAGAAAGAAAAUUCCAUUUACAAUUGCAUCAAAAGAAUACUUACGAAUACAUUUGACAAAGUAAGUGCAGAAGUUAUACCCUGAAAACUACAACACUGCUUAAACAAGUUAAAGAAUAAUUAAAUAGUGGAGGGAGUUUCCUGUUUGUGGUGCAAUGGCUAAGAUUCCACGCUCCCAAUGCAGGGGGCCCAGGUUCAAUCCCUGGUCGAGGAACUAGAUCCCACAUGCAUGCUGCAACUAAGAGUUUGCAUGCCACAACUAAGGAGCCCACCUGCCACAACUAAGACCUGGUGCAAUCGAAUUAAUUUAAAAAAAAAGAAGUAGUGGAAAGACAUCCAUGCUCAUGAAUUGGAAACCUUAAUAUUUUUAAAACGGCAGUACUCUCCAAAUUGAUCUAUAGAUUCAACAUAAUUCCUACCAGAAUAUCAGCUGACUUCUUUGUAGAAAAUAAUAUAACCCUAAAAUUAAUAUGGAAAUUCAAGGGACCCAGAAUAACCAAAACAGUCUUGAAAAAGAGGAAGAAAAUUGGAACAUUCACACUUCCCGAUUCCAAAUCUUACUAUAAAUCUACUGUGUGGUAUUGGCAUAAGGAUAGAUAUAUAGAGCAAAAGAAUAGAAUUGGGAGUACAGAAAUAAACCCAUGUAGCUAUGGGCAACUGACUUUUGACAAAGGUGCCAAGACCAUUCAAUGGGGAAAGACUCGUCUCUUUGACAAAUGGUGCUGAGACAACUGGAUAAUCACAUGGAAUAGAAUGACGUUCAACCCUUACUUCACACCAUAUACAAAAUUUAACUCAAAAUAGACCAUAGACCUAAAUAUAAGGGCUAAAACCAUAAAACUCUUAGAAGAAAACGUAGGGGUAAAUCUUCACAGCUUUGGAUUUGGCAAUGAUUUCUUACAUACGGCAUCCAAAGUACAAGCAACAGAGAAAAAAGAUAAAUUAGGACUGAAGCAAAAACAAAAAAAUUUAUUUUGCAUCAAAGGGCACUAUGAAGAGAGUGAAAAGACAGCCCACAGAAUGGAAAACAAUAUUUGCAAAUCAUCUCUCUGAUAAGUGUUUAGUAUCCAGAACAUAUAAAGAAAUCCUACAACUUAACGAGAAGACAGGGACUUCCCGGGCGGCGCAGUGGUUAAGAAUCCGCCUGCCAAUGCAGGGGACACGGGUUUGAGCCCUGGUCCGGGAAGAUCCCACAUGCUGCAGAGCAACUAAGCCCACAUGCCACAACUACUGAGCCUGCACUCUAGAGCCAGUGAGCCACAACUACUGAGCCCACAAGCUACAACUACUGAAGCCCGCACGCCUAGAGCCCAUGCUCUGCAACAAGAGAAGCCACCACAAUGAGAAGCACGCGCAUUGCAACUAAGAGUAACCCCCGCUUGCCACAACUAGAGAAAGCCCACGUGCAGCAAUGAGGACCCAACCCAGCCAAAAUUAUUAAUUAAUUUUAAAAAACAAAAAACCGCAAUGAGGGAAGUCCCUGGCAGGCCAGUGGUUAGGACUCCACGCUUUCAGGGCCAUGGGCCCAGGCUCAAUCCCUGGAUGGGGGAACUAAGAGCCCACAAGCCGCGUGAUGUUGCCAAAAGAAAAACAAAACAAAACAAAACGAAGGAAAAAAACCCCACAAUGAGAUAAGAGGUACUACUUCACACCUACUAAGAUGGCUAGAAUCAAACAAGAAGAAGAAGAAGAAAAGGAAAAUAAAUGUCGGUAAGGAUGUGGAGAAAUUGGAACCCUUGCAAAUUGCUGAUGGGAAUGUAAAAUGGUGCAGCUGUUGUGGAAGCAUUUGGUGGUUCCUCAAAAUUUUAAACAUAAGAAUUACCAUAUGACCCAAUAAUCUUACUCCUAGGUAAAUACCCAAAAGAAUUGAAAAUAGGUACUCAGAUACUUGUUCACGAAUGUUCCUAGAAGCACUAUUCAUAAUAGUCAGAAGGUAGAAACAACUCAAAUGUCUAUUAUUGGAUAACUGGAUAAAUAAAUGUAGUAGUAUAUAUAUACAAUGGAAUAUUCAGCCAUAUAAAGGAAUGAAGUAUUGAUAUAGGCUACAACAUGGAGGAACCUCAAAAACAUUAUGCUUAGUGAAGAAGCCAGACUGAAAAUGUCAUGUGUAGGUUUCCUUUAUAUGAAACAACCAGAAUUGAUAAAUCCAGAGACAGAAGGCAGAUCAGUGGUUGUCAGGAGACUGGGGAGGAGGAGUGGAAAGUGACUAUUGAUGGGUAAGGAGUUUCCUUUAAGGGUGAGGGAAAUGUCUUGGAACCAGUUAUAGGUGAUGGUUGCACAACUUUGUGAGUGUACCAAAUGCCAUGGCAUUGUCUGCUUUAAAAUGGUUAAUGGCCCAUUUUGUUACUUGAAUUUUACCUCUUAGGAAAAAAACCCCCAAAACCAUUGAGCUUAGAAACCACUUUUUCAGUAGUGCCAAGUAUUUAUUAUCUCACUUAAUUCUGAUAACCAACUCUGUGAGAAUGGAUAGAUUGCCCCCUACCCCACCAUAUUCAUAUUGUCCCCCAAACUGAAUUCCUAUUUCAUAUAUAUAUAUAUAUAUAUAUAUAUAUAUAAAGUAUAUGCUCAACCACAUAGUGUUUUUGAGAGGAGGUACAUACCAACUAAACCUCAUAGGCCUCACAGUGUCCUUAUACAAGAUAAAGGAAGUGGCCCAAUGCUAAAAGGCUCUUCUACUCUGUUAGUGCUAAAAUUCUACUUCAACUCUACUGUGCCUGUCUAAUCACCACCAGCUGCACUUCUGGUGAGCAAGGAUCACUUUCAGCAGAAGUGAUUUCUAUAUGGUCCAAAGUCCAAGUGAAGAGGAUUUACUAAUACUGAUUACGUACUCUUGAAUGAGCACUUUGCUCAUUACAUUGUACUGUUUCCCCUUUAGCAACUGUAGUAUUUCAUAAAAACCCAAAGAAAUCACAUAGGCCCACCAUGUUACCAAAAGUUGAAACUAGGUUGCCAUUCCUAAGAUUUUUUUGCUUGCCAGUAGCAGAGAUUGCCAAAUUCUCUAAACCUGUUUUUAAAUAAUAAAGGUGCUCUAUGGAAAGUUCACGGCCAUUGGUGUCUCAUGGACCUGUGUAUUGACCUCGGUAGUCCCACAUCUUUAAUGUGGGGCCCUAAAAGUUACUUAACGUCCCUCUCAGGUUUCUCCCCUACAUAUGGGAAAUAACCGAUAUUAGUUUGCAAUGAGGAAGCUUGCAACUUAUUCCUGUCACCUCAGGAAUAUUAGGGCACCCCUUUGUGCAGCCUGAGUAAUGACUCCCCAUCUUGGGGAAUGAGGAAGGGCCUGGUUUAACCUAAGUUUAGGAAUAAAAUGAUCCAUGUCAUUUCACACGGGGUGGGGGUGCGAGGGUGGUAGUGAAAGAACUUAAUUGAAAUUCAGAUUCCAUGGCAAGACUUGUAUUAAUUUUACAAGAAAAGCAAGGGAAUUCCCUGGUGGUCCAGUGGUUAAGACUCUGCACUUCCACCCCUGAGGGCGCAGGUUCAAUCCCUGGUUGGGGAACAGAGAUCCCGCGUGGUGUGGCCAAAAAGAAAAAAAAAAAAAAGCAGUUUCAUAGUUUU